rnacentral:lncRNA from 1 species
GCAGGACCAUCUGAAUUUUUUAAGCUGAUUUGAGUCUUUUUGUUUUUCCUGUAAUUCUGUUUGAUUCUUUCGGUUAAUUUUAUUCACAAGAGUGAGUCUUUAAUAAUAACUAGAUUCUUGUAACGCGCGAUGCCACUUAUCCUGUAAUAAACGUGUAGUAUAUGCAUGUUCACCCGUUAAAAAAAAGAUAUUUGUCAUAUAUUAAGCGACUGAGCAUCAAACGUAACGCUUUGUUUUUAAUUCACAUGUAGUAUUAGCCAAUUCAGAUCAGACAGUUACCUCAACCUCCAAACAGCUGUAAACCACACGAACAGUAAUAAUAAAUCAAUAAGGAAAGUAAAGCAGGCAACAAAAGCACCCAAGAGCGCACGUAGCAUCCACAAUUACAACAAUUUGCACAGGUGCAGCUGCAGAACUCCGACCCGAAUAUGAACAGCAAGCACAAUGUGCUUAAGAACACAAUUUUGAUUGCAGAUGAGACCUACUUCGCAAACCUAUACAUGCAAAUUGAAUUAGGUUGUUCCAUAGUAGGUUAACUGGACAAAUUGCAACAGUAAACAACUGGCACUUCCGUAAUAAAAACCAGAAGCAACGGGGAACCCUUGAUGGAAGGAGGCUAAUGCAACAAAGUACCAAUUCAAAAGGAACCAUCCAUUAGCAUAGGUAACUGAACAAAACGCAAAGACAAGCGGAGAACAUGAAAGGAGAAGGAAGAGGCAACGAAGAAGGCACGACGACACCUAUGCAUAUUCCGGAUUCCAGAACAAGUCUUGCAUCUCCCAAAAUAGUUGUCACACUUGUACCUUUUGACUAUGCUGCCAGGAUAUCAACUCUAGAUGUUGUCAUGGCUGCAUAUGACCACUGAGUCAUCAGGUUUAAGCCAAGGGAAACAUGAAGUCAACAAACAGAACUCAAAAGUGUUUGGCCUGACAUUGAUCUUCAUACAUUGGAGGACAAAUAUGUACUGUAGGAUUUGGUUGUAUCUGGUUGAUUUGGAGCAUUUGAGAACAUCAUUUGCAUUAGUUUUGUUCUUGAAAGAAAGAGGAAAUGGGAAAGAAAAUACCACGUCUUGUUGUUUGAGUUUCCUAUUUUAGCUCCACCAGCACCAAGCAUCAGGUACUAAUGGUCCAUUUCCUUCGUCGCUAACCUCGCAAUAUACAAAUUUUCAUUGCACCAGAUUUUCAUCCAAAGAAUCCGAGUAGCAAUACCUGCAUUAAUCGCAUGCGAAAACCAGUCAUCAAUAGUGUGGAUUGCCUUCUUACAAACAAAUUCAGACCUUUCAAGUUAAGACCUGGUUUCAAUAAAAUUCUACUCAUUCAAAAAUCUGUCCAUCAUAUCCUACUGUUGUCUUUGGCGAGAGUCGAGUACUUUCUCAAUAGCACUGUUUCCAGAUUCAAUGGCACACCUUGGAUUAAUGGACAUAAACUUGUAUCACAUGCGUAAGAGGGAUGCAAGAAGGUUAGCCAUGCAGCAAAAGCAACACUUGGGGAAAUGACUUAGCACCCAUGAGUUCAUCCUCAUCAGACACAUUGUCACUUCUACCCAGAGUCCCUUAGAUUUCACCACCAACUUCCAUCACGUCCAUCUCAUUUUGCAAGUCCAACAGAGAAUAAAUGAGUUAAGAUAGUAUAAUGUGAAAGCUAUAAUGCACAAUACAUAUAUAAAUAUCUUGAAUCUACAGUCUGCAUCAUCCCUUUCAACUCUCUAUUCACAGACUUUAGAGUUUUUUGCCAAAAAAGAUUAGAGUUGACAUCUGAACGCAAGAAAGCAAAAACAACACAAAACUAAGUAAAUAGCCAUUCAAAGUAUAACAACAGACUUCUACAUAAUCCCACAGUGGUAUUAGAGUAAACAAAGUUGAUUCAGGAAAUACUAUUAUUAAAAUAAUUAAAGCGUAUAGUUGGUUGAACAUCCCACAUGAGGAAAACACCUUGGUAAAGGUAAAAAAUGAAUCAAUAAUCAUUGUGGAAGAAAUUCCAAGCAGUGCCACAUAUGAGCGUUUGGAUCAUAGCAAAAUCCGAACUUCACAACAAUAUUGUGUUAGGCAACUGCAAUAUGGAUUGAGGCCAGAUCAAGUCCUCUGCAAGAUUGCGAUUAAAGAAGAGGUUUAAUCAGAGAUGAACAAACACAGAUUGAGGAGGGAAAAGAGGUACCUUAGCAUACAGCAAGUGAGUGGAUUCAACGCCAAAUCUUUUGCAGCCAGCCGUCCACUCUAGUCCUUCCAUCUAUUUCAACUGGCCGACCAUAUUUUGGUAGAGAGAAAGAAGUGGAAGAAGAUGAGAGGAAAGCUUCCUCGCAGAUAAGGGGGUGAGAGAGAUGGGUGAAAAGCUCUGAACAGAUAAGGUGUAGAGAAAGGAAAGGAAGAAAAGACGGCAAAAGCAUCAGAGACGACGUGAAAAGGCAAACUCAAUUGAACAGUACCAACGAAUUGGGUUUGCACACAAUCGGCGAGCGGUGGAGUUAACAGGACUGAACUAAAUCAGUCAAAUGCGAACUGGAGCAUAACUAAGGAACUCCUAACUAAACAAUCAGCCUUACACUCAUACUUGGAACGGAACUAAGCAAAGUAACCAAGGGGUGUCAGACGCAAAAAAGCAGACAGGAAGAAAACCCCUUAAUGAACAGGGAAAUACGUAAUAG